rnacentral:rRNA from 1 species
UACGGAAGGUCCGGGCGUUAUCCGGAUUUAUUGGGUUUAAAGGGAGCGUAGGCCGGAGAUUAAGCGUGUUGUGAAAUGUAGACGCUCAACGUCUGCACUGCAGCGCGAACUGGUUUCCUUGAGUACGCACAAAGUGGGCGGAAUUCGUGGUGUAGCGGUGAAAUGCUUAGAUAUCACGAAGAACUCCGAUUGCGAAGGCAGCUCACUGGAGCGCAACUGACGCUGAAGCUCGAAAGUGCGGGUAUCGAACAGGAUUAGAUACCCCGGUAGUUGACUGACU